CAGUUGCAGCGUUAAAUUUUCUGUCUCUUCACCAGCCCUCUCUUCAGAACCUGGUGCGCCACCAGGAUCAAGCUCUCCUACCCCAGCUUCCUGCGCGCUCCUUGCUACAUCUCCUGCCAGCUCAUCAUCUUCCAUGUCUUCUGAGUUCAAGGCUGCUUGCUUUCCUGCUGAUUCAGUGCCCAGGGCAAGCUGCAGCACAUCGGCGCCCCUGCCUGCCAGUAAAGAGGCAAUGUCCCUGCUGUCACUUGUUGAACUGCCAGGCUGACUGGACACUGAGACAGCAGGCUGACCAUUUGCAUGGACAGAUGCAGAUAGUGCCUCUGCAGUGCCUGUCCUUGGCGCCCUAGCAUGCACGUCUGUAACGGCAUCGCGCGUGGAGCUGACUAAGCAGAGCACAGCCCUAAGUCCCAGCUGCCGGCUGUCACUGGACUGCGCUGCUGCAGUGAGCCUGAUGAGGCUGCCCAGCAGCCUCUGGCUCACCCUGGUGCUCCCUAGCAGCGAGGACCCCGCCAC
rnacentral:lncRNA from 1 species